ACCGGCCUGGAAAAGGGUAAUGUCCGGAAACUUUCAUUCUCUGUCAGAUGGUUGUUCCGACGUGACCAGCCGGGA
rnacentral:tRNA from 1 species